rnacentral:lncRNA from 1 species
UGAACCGAAUGAUGUUACAUGCGAAUGCAAAUGGGCCUGAGUCCAUUCCCAAAGGUAAUGCAAUAACCGGCUGUCCAGGGGAGAUCAAGGGAUCGAAUCCCCUUGAGCUCACACGCACACGAUUUAUUUGGUUGUUAAACCAUUCUCCACCUCGUUCAAUAUUGACAGUGACCAUUGAAAUCACAGUGCUUCUAACUAAAAUGUAAUUAACAUCCGCUGGAUCAAUUAACCACGUUCAACUUUACGUAAAAAAAGAACUAACCAUGCUUGAUUUGAGUAAUGCUUCUCACCAUAACUAGCAAUAUCAACUAUGAUUUAUUAAUUCCAACAUUAAUAACCAACUGAACGCCUACUGGUUUUCAAAUUCAACUGGAGCAGACUUCGAAGAGCAUGAAUAAGAUACGUGCCUCUUACUACCAAUUCAAUUAGCAGCCCUUGAUGUAUGCAUGAAUUCACUGAUUCAAAAGAGCAUGCUGACUAGCAAGUUUAAAUUGAAAAACUAGACCAAGUAUAGCUUAUGUCAAUUAGCAUUUCAACCAGCUACUAACCAUAAGUUCCCAAGACAAUUCAACAGUCUAUUAUCAACAAUAAUUGACACAAAUCAACAGUUCAAUACAACUAAGUCGUUACAGUCAAGGAUAAUAAAAACAUGGCAACUAAUGAAGCCUCUAACGAAAUCAACCUCCUGUUUCAUUUUAUUUUUUCAACUGGAUACACUACAUGGAUUCAAACUCGAAGGUGUGUACCUAGUUUCUUAAUUACAGCAGAAGAAGAACAGAAUCAGUAGAAGCAGGUGAACAACAUCAUUAGCUUAAUACUUAAAAUAGCCUAUGAAAUAGAAUGAGCAGCCCAGAUACGUUUAAAUCUAAGAAAAUCUAGCAGAUCCACUUUAACACAGUUACAAACCAACAAGAAAUGAACCCCAACGCAUAGACAACCAUCAAAUAAUCCAAACCAAUUCGAAACAGAACUGAAAACCCUUUUGUAACUGCACUGCUGCAAAGCAUAGCCAAAUAUCCACUUAAUUUGAUUCAAUUUCCCUUGAAGUGAACCUCUACACUUCACCAAACAACAAUAGUAGCUAUAGAAUGUGAAUUGACGAAUAGAAACUGAAAUAAGUCCAUAAUUUCAGUAGAAUAGUAACAUUUUUGAGCAAUAGUUGCUAUAGAAUGUAAAUUGACGAAUAUAAACUGAAAUCAGUCCAUAAUUUCAAUGGAACAGCAACAUUUUUUAUUUUUUUUCUUUGAGUUUCUAUUUUUUAUUUUUUUGGUUUUUUGAAGUUUUUGGAGUUUGUAUUAUAGAUCUUAGAUCUAAAAUUUAGAGAGCAUACUUGGGGGAAUUUCUUGGGCUCUAAAACUUGUGUGUUAAGACAUGGAAAUGCCCUUUUUAUAGGCAAAAUGUGGGCAACCCUGAGAUUUUAUGUUUACCCUAUCAGUCCCUACUUCUUUUCAGUUUGAAUCCCUUAUUUUCUAUCUUGUUCCUCUAGCCAAUCCCUUAACUUUGAUGAAAUCUAACUUAAGCCCUGUUCUAGAAAGAUCUAGGGAAUUCUAGUGUCAACUAGAGCAUUAUUCUCCAAUCCUAAAUACCCAAGUUGCCCCUGACUACCCCCUGAAACUACAUCCCUAGUUAAUUGACCCAAACCUUUAGUUGGAAUUUAAUUAUAGCCAAACGGAUCUUAAAAUAAUACCAAUCUAAUUAAUAUGAUUAACCAAUAUGAUUUAUCUGAAAUUAAUUAUAAGCAUAGAACUCCUAAAUACAACAAUGAACUAAUUCAAUUAAAAUCAAACGAAACCCAAUUGAACCAACAAACAAAAAAAUCAAAAUAAUAUGAAAUGAUACCUAAACAUGUACGAUUACUUUUGUAAUCAAGCGAACACAUUACUAAAUCAAACCAAUUAUAUGGUAAAGAAAAAACAAAAUCCUAAAUAGAAAUCCUAACUUGCUACAGAAAUGGUGAAAGAAAUUCUAAAUGAAACAAAGCAAAAGAAAUAAAAAAGAAGAAAUUGAAAACAGAGAAUAAGAGAAAACUUGCAAGACUUACUCAUUCCAAACCUGAACGGAGUAAACCUCGAACUUGACCUUCAAUUAAUGUUGCAUGUCUAUUUCAUCUGAAAUAGACAUGCAACAUUAACUAAAAAUCAGUCAAACACUUGAAUCCCCAAAAAAACACUCGAACCCUCUAAAACCUAGAUCUGAAAAUCAACAAAUUCCGUUAGGAUUUGAGAGGUUUUGGUUAGGGAUUAGGGAUUAGGGAUGAGGGAGUCGAAGAGACUAUGGGGUCCAAUUUUGAGCGGAUUUGGAUGACUUAGCAUAUUGGUCCGAAAUUUCGAUCCAAUAUUCUAAAGCUUUGGUUGUGAUUCGAGGGAAAUGGUAGAUAUGGAAUGGGGAGGUGAAGGAGAAGAGGUAGUGUAAAUUUGGAGCGAUUUUCGGACGGCGGGGGACGGCGAACAGACGGUGGGAGACGGUGCUAUUAAAGGGGGUUACGAGGAAGACGAGAGAUGUUUUUUAAGGUUUGGGAAUUUUUGACACUUAUAUUUAAUAGUU